rnacentral:rRNA from 1 species
CCUACGGGAGGCAGCAGUGAGGAAUAUUGGUCAAUGGACGAGAGUCUGAACCAGCCAAGUAGCGUGAAGGAUGACUGCCCUAUGGGUUGUAAACUUCUUUUAUAUGGGAAUAAAAUGUUCCACGUGUGGGAUUUUGUAUGUACCAUAUGAAUAAGGAUCGGCUAACUCCGUGCCAGCAGCCGCGGUAAUACGGAGGAUCCGAGCGUUAUCCGGAUUUAUUGGGUUUAAAGGGAGCGUAGGUGGAUUGUUAAGUCAGUUGUGAAAGGUUGCGGCUCAACCGUAAAAUUGCGGUUGAAACUGGCAGUCUUGAGUACAUGAGAGGUGGGCGGAAUUCGUGGUGUAGCGGUGAAAUGCUUAGAUAUCACGAAGAACUCCGAUUGCGAAGGCAGCUCACUGGACUGCAACUGACACUGAGGCUCGAAAGUGUGGGUAUCAAACAGGAUUAGAUACCCGAGUAGUC